rnacentral:misc_RNA from 1 species
GAUGAAGAACGUAGUGAAAUGCGAUAAGUAGUGUGAAUUGCAGAAUUCAGUGAAUCAUCGAAUCUUUGAACGCACAUUGCGCCCCUCGGUAUUCCGAGGGGCAUGCCUGUUCGAGCGUCAUUAUAACCCUUCAAGCUCAGCUUGGUGUUGGGGCCUGCUGUAACUGGUAGCCCUUAAAAUCAGUGGCAGUGCUAUUAGGCUCUAAGCGUAGUAAUUCUUCUCGCUAUAGUGUGUAGUGAGCGCUUGCCAGAACCCCAAACUUUUAUAUGAUUGACCUCGGAUCAGGUAGGGAUACCCGCUGAACUUAAGCAUAUCAAUAAGCGGAGGA